GAGGGUAUAGCUCAGUGAUAGAGCGUGUGCUCAGCAUGCCUGAAGCCUGGGUUCAAUCCCCAGUACCUACA
rnacentral:tRNA from 1 species